AGUAGCUUUUAAAGCUGGGCCUUAGUGGGACUCUAAAUGCAAUGAAAGCAGUCUGUGUUGAGAGACUGAAAUGCAUUUCAAAGCCAGGCCUGAUUCGGGGUACAAGGAAGAACAGACCUAUGUGCAUUUUGUAGGAAGAAAACUGUGAAUGGAAAAAGGAGAAGGGGAGAGAAACGGGGGAAAUCUGGAUAAUACAUUAAAGUAACCAUAAUUUUGGAGAUGCAUUCAUCUUAUUGAAAAUAUGUACGUAACCAGUGAUACCGAAGUCGGAUAUUUGCUCAAUCAGGAUGCUCAACAAUUUGAGCCUUUAAAGUUUGGAGCUGCAUGGGUUUGUGGAGAAAGUCGGCUCGUGAUAUUUCCUCAUGGUUGUGAUUCCUCUUCACUCUUUUGAAUUUGGAAGGAUGGCAUACACAUCUGAAAAAUACCACUACUUCCUUCAUUGGACUGCAAGGUAUUUCUGUUUGGAAAAGUAAUGGAGUCCAGUCAACUUCAUUGAUCGCCAAGGACUGUCAAAAUUAUAAAACUUGCUGUGGAGCUCUGACAUGCCAGAAGCCGCUAGA
rnacentral:lncRNA from 1 species